AACGAACGCUGGCGGCAUGCCUAACACAUGCAAGUCGAACGAGACCUUCGGGUCUAGUGGCGCACGGGUGCGUAACGCGUGGGAACCUGCCCUUAGGUUCGGAAUACCUCCCCGAAAGGGGUGCUAAUACCGGAUAAUGUCUUCGGACCAAAGAUUUAUCGCCUUUGGAUGGGCACGCGUUGGAUUAGCUAGUUGGUAGGGUAAAAGCCUACCAAGGCGAAGAUACAUAGCUGGUCUGAGAGGAUGAUCAGACACACUGGGACUGAGACACGGCCCAGACUCCUACGGGAGGGAGCAGUGGGGAAUAUUGGACAAUGGGCGGAAGCAUGAGCCAGCAAUGGCGCGUGAGUAAUGAAGGCCUUAGGGUUGUAAAGCUCUUAUAACCGGGAAGAUAAUGACAGUACCGGGAGAAUAAGCGCCGGCUAACUCCGUG
rnacentral:rRNA from 1 species